UACGUAGGGGCCGAGCGUUGUCCGGAUUCAUUGGGCGUAAAGAGCGUGUAGGCGGCCGCUUAAGUCCUGCGUGAAAUCUCGGAGCUCAACUCCGAGCGGUCGUGGGAAACUGGGCGGCUAGAGUGCGGGAGAGGAGAGUGGAAUUCCUGGUGUAGCGGUGGAAUGCGCAGAUAUCAGGAAGAACACCCGUGGCGAAGGCGGCUCACUGGACCAUAACUGACGCUGGUGCACGAAAGCUAGGGGAGCAAACAGG
rnacentral:rRNA from 1 species